CGAAAUAGCUCAGUUGGUAGAGCAACCGUCUCGUAAUCGGUAGGUCGUAGGUUCAAGUCCUAUUUUCGGC
rnacentral:tRNA from 1 species